rnacentral:rRNA from 1 species
GACGAACGCUGGCGGCGUGCUUAACACAUGCAAGUCGAACGGUGAACCAGAGCUUGCUCUGGGGAUCAGUGGCGAACGGGUGAGUAACACGUGGGCAACCUGCCCCAGACUCUGGGAUAACCUCGGGAAACCGAUGCUAAUACCGGAUACGACCACUUCGGACAUCCGACGGUGGUGGAAAGUUUUUCGGUCUGGGAUGGGCCCGCGGCCUAUCAGCUAGUUGGUGGGGUAAUGGCCUACCAAGGCGACGACGGGUAGCCGGCCUGAGAGGGCGACCGGCCACACUGGAACUGAGACACGGUCCAGACUCCUACGGGAGGCAGCAGUGGGGAAUAUUGCACAAUGGGCGAAAGCCUGAUGCAGCGACGCCGCGUGAGGGACGACGGCCUUCGGGUUGUAACCGUCUUUCAGCAGGACGAAGCGAAAGUGACUGUACCUGCAGAAGAAGC